UGGCUGUCCCUGGAGCAGUGGGAGCUGCCGCUGGCCCCAGGCACUGUCCUGUGAGGAGCUGCUGAAGGACGCUGAGACUGAGGGGGCUGAGGAGGCGCUGAUGCUGAAGGGACCUUGCAAACCUUGAGCUGUGCUGAAGAGCUUGAGGAGAGCCAGACACUGAGAGGAGCCAGCAGGGAGAAGCUGAAGGCCUGGAGCAAGAGCAGUGAGCAGGGAUGUGCUGGAGCCACGCGAGAGCCUGGAUGUCCCAUCUGCUGUCCCUGUCCAGGAGAGCUGCUCUGCAUGGGAGGAAAAGACUGAGGGAGAGGCUUUGAAGAUGGGGGGGCUGAUUUGUUCUUAUGCAGUUGUAUGGAUAUUGAGAUUGAGACAGUGUCAUUUGUAUAUUUUCAAAUAGUUUUGUUUUAUAUAUCUAUGUGUAUAUAUAUUUUAUGAAAUAUGUAAUAGUUAAUCUGUAUUUCCAUCUGGAGAUGGUUAUAGAUGUAUCUGUAGAGGUAUUUAAUUCUAUUUAAACAUGUAUGAAAUGGUAUAGUUGUAUAAUUCUAUCGAUCAAAUUCUUAGUACAGGGUUAUUUAGAGGGGGACACUGAUAAUUUUGUAUUUCUAUAUGGGCUGUAAGCUUGUUGUAAUCUGUAAUAAAUUAAGUUGUUAAACACCUCAUUAAUCGUUGCCUAUAGUGACUUGUAGAGGUUAGCAAUAAGUGAAGUUUUUGCUAACUGAAUUGGUAUUUGUAUAUUUUUACGUGGCAUUGUUGUGCUAAUAUAAUAAAUGACUUUUUUUCAACUUAAUGGAGAUUUUGAUAGUUGUGUAUUGUCAGUGCAGGUGUAGCAAUUUGUAAUAAAUGACAUUUUUCAACUGAAA